rnacentral:tRNA from 1 species
GCCCAGAUGGUGAAAUUGGUAGACACGCACGAUUCAGGGUCGUGUGCCUCACGGCAUGCUGGUUCGAACCCAGUUCUGGGCA